AUAGUUACCUGGCAGGGGAGAUACCAUGAUCACGAAGGUGAUUUUCCCAGGGUGAAGCUCACCCAUUGCACUCCAAAUGUUCUGACCUCUGCAAUUUCCCCAAAUGUGGAAAACUCGACUGCAUAAUUUGUGGUAGCAGUGGAUUGCGUUCACACUCUCCCCUG
ensembl:snRNA U1 U1 spliceosomal RNA